UGCAUGUGUAAGUAUAAAUAUUCUACUUUUGAACUGGCAAUGGGUCCUUAUUUCAUGUUUUGGUUAUUUGAAGAAAUGUUCUACUUGGAUAACCGAAGUAAUUCUAAAGGUAAUACCUGGUCAAUUCCCCCACUUUGAAAAGGUGUAUGUAUUAUAAUGAAAACCCCUAAACUUUGUCUGUUUGUGAGUAAUAAUAACUUGUCAUAUCUCAUGCUUAAGUAGCGAUGUGUCUUUUAAGUUUCUGCCCUAUCCCCUUUCGAUGGUAAUGGAUUGGACUACCAUGGGAGUAACGGGUAACAAAGAAUUUGGGUUCAAUUUCUGAGAGGGAGCCUGAGAGAUGGCUACCACAUCCAAGGAAGGCAGCAGGCGCGUAAAUUACCCAUUCCUGACUCGGGAGGGAGUGACAAUAAAUCACAAUGCGGAACUUCUGUUUUGCAAUUGGAUUGAGAACAACGCACCACACUUAUCGAUAAACAAUUAUUGGGUUGCUCUGGUGCCAGCAGCCGCGGUAAUUCCAGCUCCCAUAGCG
rnacentral:rRNA from 1 species